rnacentral:rRNA from 1 species
CCUACGGGGGGCUGCAGUGGGGAAUAUUGGACAAUGGGGGGAACCCUGAUCCAGCCAUGCCGCGUGUGUGAAGAAGGCCCUCGGGUUGUAAAGCACUUUCAGUGAGGAAGAACGCCUGGUGGUUAAUACCCAUCAGGAAAGACAUCACUCACAGAAGAAGCACCGGCUAACUCCGUGCCAGCAGCCGCGGUAAUACGGAGGGUGCGAGCGUUAAUCGGAAUUACUGGGCGUAAAGCGCGCGUAGGUGGCUUGAUAAGCCGGUUGUGAAAGCCCCGGGCUCAACCUGGGAACGGCAUCCGGUACUGUCAAGCUAGAGUGCAGGAGAGGAAGGUAGAAUUCCCGGUGUAGCGGUGAAAUGCGUAGAGAUCGGGAGGAAUACCAGUGGCGAAGGCGGCCUUCUGGACUGACACUGACACUGAGGUGCGAAAGCGUGGGUAGCAAACAGGAUUAGAUACCCUGGUAGUC